GGCUCUUCUCGGGGAGUGGAGUGCUAUGACAGAUGAGACUUUCAUGCAAGAAAAUAAAUCCUGCACAUUUGAUGUACUGCUUUAAACUUAAAGACCUCUUUGGACCCGAAAUUGUAAGGUCCCUGUGGUCAAGCAUGGAUUCUACUGACACGUGCAGCCCAAGAAUUUACACUGAGCCAGCUGAGUGACAUUGACUUAGGAUCUUCCCCCUUGAGACUCUCAUUAAUCAAAAGUUAUGGCACCGAGGAGACCCCAGGAGAGAGUCAGAGCUUGGAGUCCAUUUUAUUUCUAGCUUAAUGUUUCCCUCUUCUCUCAUUUAACAUCAGCCUUUUCCGAAUGGCUGCCUCUGAAAGCCAGAAAGCUUUCAGUUGAUUAAACAGCAUUAGUUCACCUCAUUAUUGGAAGAAAAAUAGGAAAGUCAAAAUAAAGAUGCACGUUCUCCUAUAAGAGAAAAAAUUAUCCUUGAUAGUAAUUCCUCCAUUGUCUGAAAUAAUCCUAUUAGGCAUUGUCUUUCCAUCAAAAUUAACCAGCACAAAGCAACUGGCAGGAGAAGGGAGCUGGUGAAAGAAAAUAUUGCUGUCAUUUAACUGCUCAUCGAGAGAUAACUUAAAUGGUCUUAUUUCUUAAUUAAAGGUACAAGAGUAGCCAUUAAUUCUUGACCAUAACAAGAUUAAA
rnacentral:lncRNA from 1 species